CGCCGCUGUCACACUCGCACACACGCGCGCACGCAGAUGGCAACACCGCGUCCCGGAGCCCCUGCGCAGCCCAUUGGCCGGGCGGCGGCGGUAUGCAAAUGAGGCCGCCGGGGCCGCCCACGCCUCAUUGUUGCGUGGAGACCCGGGGGCCGCGCGGCGGGGUGGCGGGGCCGGCGUGGGGAGCUCCCGGGUGCGGGUCGGGGCAGACCCACGCAGGGCCGCCUGCGGGCGGGGGGCUGCAGCAUGGCCACGCGCGGGGAGGGAGGGCGCGCCUCUCCUGCUUCUGGGACUCGGUGCGAAACCUGCUCCUGCUCGCCCGCAGCACGCCUCCCCCAGGCGCAGUUUGGGUGGGGGUCGGUUUUCAGGCAGGGACGCUCCCCAAGUCCGCCUAGAGUGCUCGCUAAGCGCAGGGGUCUCCAAGGAGCUGUGAACCCCGUGCUCCCCACCCCGGAGGAACCACCACGAGUGGGACCCCGCCCCCUCGAGGCUGUGGACAGGAGUGAGCAGAAGCAUUCUUUCUGUGGUGUUGGAGAAGGUGAAGUGAGUGAGCUUAGACCAGCUCAUGCUCUGGCCCCAGCCACCCAAGAAGUCUACAGCAAAGACCAGAGUCCAGUUUCCUUCCUGGGAAACAAAAUAUGAACCAGUGGGCAACCCAGGUGGCUCAGCGGCUUAGCGCUGCCUUCAGCCCAGGGCAUGAUCCUGGAGUCCCGGGAUCGAGUCUCAUGUUGGGCUCCCUACAUGGAGCCUGCUUCUCCCUCUGCCUGUGUCUCUGCCUCUCUCUCUCUCUCUCUCUCUCUCUCUCUCAUUUAGUGUGCUUCUCAUUAAUAAAUAAAUAAAAUCUUUUUAAAAACA
rnacentral:lncRNA from 1 species